rnacentral:tRNA from 1 species
CAGGACGUGGCUGAGUUAGCCAAGCAUCUCACUUACACCGAGAAGACACCCGUGCAAAUCGAGUCGUCCUGA